GAUCAUGGCUCAGGACGAACGCUGGCGGCACGCUUAACACAUGCAAGUCGAACGAGAGAAGAGAAGCUUGCUUUUCUGAUCUAGUGGCGGACGGUUGAGUAACACGUGAGCAAUCUGCCUUUCAGAGGGGGAUACCGAUUGGAAACGAUCGUUAAUACCGCAUAACAUAAUUGAACCGCAUGAUUUGAUUAUCAAAGAUUUAUCGCUGAAAGAUGGGCUCGCGU
rnacentral:rRNA from 1 species